CUGCAUCUGCAUCUGCAUCUCCAUCUACAACUGCAUCCAUAUCUGCAUCUGCAUCUCCAUCUGCAUCUAUAACGGCAUCCACAUCUGCAUCCACAUCUGCAUCUGCAUCUCCAUCUGCAUCUAUAACGGCAUCCACAUCUGCAUCUGCAUCUACACGUACAUACAGCUGGCUUGAUGCUUUAACUCCCUCUUCCAUCCAUGAUUGCCAGUAUAGGCUCUAGCACAAGAACAAACAUUUUGGAACCAAAUUAUACUUUAAUGACCAAGGAUUGUUCUCCCUUCUCCUUCCUCCUCUGCCCUCCAAACCCCUCACGACCUCAGGCCUAAGACAGUAACUCCUAGUAGGAACUCAGUAAAUAUCAUUGAAUGAAUGAAUGUACAGGACUCAGCCUGAAGGUGGACCAGAAGGGACCACUUUCUUCCCACUCCUUUCAAGGGUAGGGCCUGAACACCCUGUCUUCUCUGUUUCACAAAGAGGAAAGUUGGGUGGAAUCAAAUGACAGGCCACCUGGGACAGAGGAUGACAAGACGGUUGGAUCUAGCUGUACAAUGUCAGAGGAACCAAAUUGUGAAGACAUCUGUUCUGUUAUUAAUUUCACAUAAAUCUUAAGCUCCUCAAGGCCAGAAAUGAGGCUUCAUUCACGUCGAAUUAAUGAAACAUGAUUGUAAGUCCCUUGCAUGGAAUGCUGUCACACAAUUCUGAGCUGCUUAUAAGCACUGAGUAAUCUCAGAAACUGCCAGGGGACAGCCACGUGAGACCUGCCCUCCCCUCCCCCUGCCCCCGAAAACAAUAUCUGAAAAUAUCACAACACUAACUAUAUCCUGAAAGAUUAAUAGCAGAUGAACAUUUCUGGGAAAUGAAUCAGACUUUCUCAGUAAAGGAUACAAAUAUCCUGGGCAAAAGCAGAUUGCACAACGUCACAGCUCUGCAGAUACAGGUUAAUAACUGGGGCCGGGCAGCCUCAUGGUACACCUCCAAGGAUGGGGUCCCUGGACGUCUCACAGAGAUGUCUUCCGGGAGGAUGCUGGAGGCAUUGUUCGACUUGUGUGCAAAGCCAGAUCCACGUGUUGGGCGUGUGAGAGAGUAUGUCCAUGCGUAUGGGUUUGCAUGCGACUAUGUGCAUGUGUAGAUGAACUUGUGUGUGUGUGUGCGUGGAGUCUGUGUGCACAUGUGUGUUGUGAGUUUGGUUUUGGGAGACUGGAACCUAAAGAAUGUAUGUGUGUGAGACUCUGUAUAUAUGAAUAUGGGUGAGUUUGUGUGUGUGACUGUGUAGGAUUGUGUGUGUGUGAGUGUGUUGUGCAUGCGCGUUUGUGUAUGUAUGGUGUGACAGUGUGUACACACAGAAUGUGUCUAUGAAUCCGUGUGUGGUGGUGCAUGUAUCUGUGUGUAGAGGAGGUGUGAGUCUGUCUGAGUGUGAGGUGUGAGUGUGCACACAGACACCCACACAGAAGGAAGCCUCUCAGGGGAGACACGAAUCGGUCGGCUGGAAACAGAUCUCCAAUAGCAGCUCGGCGUCAUCUUAUGCCCAUCUGAGCUGUUCUUGAAAGGAACUUGCUCCUGGGGUUUCGAGUGUGUGGGGCAUGGUUUUUUUUGUCAAAUAACUGAAAUUGCCAGCGGAAAGACUGCCUGGAGGGAGGCACGGAAGGGGGAGCCUGAGAUUUCUUAAUCAAACUUCCAAGUGUUAUUUUUGGUCUUCUGCUGAGCUGGGACCCAAAAAAAGAAUCUGCAUAUGGUAUUUACAUCUCAAAUCUUCAGAGUCUCAUUAGCUUUGAUAGUUAUUUAUUUAUUUAUUUAUUUGCAAAAAGGAAUUUAAAUCAAACAGAGAGGCACCAAAGCCAAACCUUUGAAUGCAGGGCGAAAUUAAUUAAAACAGGCAGCCGAAGGGAAGAGUGGAAUACAAUAGAAUUCAGAGAAAAGACAAUGAAACUAAUUAGACUCUGAUGGGAAAAAUCCUGCCUCGUGUAGUGAUCGCCCGUUGGUAAUUAAUAAGUCACAAAUAUUGAUAUUGGAAAAAAAAUGCCAGAAUUUUAACCCUUGUUUUUCUAGAAGUUUCUUUCUUCUUUUCCUUGGACCUGAUCAUCCAAACUAAGUGAAUUAUGGGAGUGGGAGUUGGUGUUUAUGAUGUUUUGGAGAAAACAGUCUAGUCUGUAACAGCAACUGUUUAGCUCUCACCAACUGUCCCUAAGAUGGUGUAGGUGGACUGAACUCAACCGACAGCAGAUGAAGACACUCAGACGUGAGGGAUGCUGACUUCCAACAGUUAACGUCAACCCAAGUGGUGGGACCAAUUUGUGUGUAUGAACAGAUACCGUCCCAGCUUCGUUUCGGCCCCGGGUUAUCUUGAAGCUUUGUUUUACCACCCGGGCUUUGUGAUCUGUGGAAAACAUUUCCAGGCACCCAGUUGAAAAACCCUUGACCAACAAUGUAAGAAAGACUUUUAGCUUUGUUUAGCAUAAGCCAGCAUCAAGGGGCCUGGCUUUCCUGUCA
ensembl:lncRNA